rnacentral:lncRNA from 1 species
AUGUGGAUGAGCCCAAUGUGUGUGUCUUCGGGGGCCGGUGUAACCCCAUGUGCUGCUGCUUGUUGUGAGGCCAAAGCCUGGGACCGCGGGGGUACUUGAUGUCCCUGCUUUUCUUCAUGGCACAGGCCAUUAGGGAAGCGGGUCUCUCAGCCUCCACUCUGCCAGCUGCUCCAAAUUCACAGUGGCUACAAAGCUAAGGCCUCCCAGUAGAGGGCAAGGGGCCCCUUGUGCUGCUGGUGUCAUUGUCCACGACUCAUCACCACGGCAAGAGAAGCUGGAGACUCCCUGUUACAAAGGCAGAAGUGUGGCACCAAGCAAAGGUGGUAUCCCUGUGAUCAUUUUUCUGGCCAGGCCUGCAUCCCAGCCCACUCUCGAGCCACCACAGUGCCCUGUGGCCUUCAGACCAGGGCCCCUGGCUCAUGGUGGCGGAGCUGCCCAGCUGAGCAUUUUAUAGAAGAGUUUCCCACAUGCAGAAAAUGCACCAAGGCCUCCGUGAGCUUUUGAACACAGAAGAGGUAAAGACAACAGCAGGACCACCAGGAGCUCCCAGCAAGGGGUGGGUACAGAAAAGGAGAAUGCCCCUGCUUUAGAGCCUGGUGGGCCCACUCCACUCACUUCAGAAGCUGGCAAAAGUUAAAGAAUCAGUGAGAGAGAAGAGAGAUUAGGCUGCCUCAGAAGAAUGGGUCCCUACCCCACCUCACAGGCUGGCUAGGGAGCAGUCACUUGUCACUUCCUGGAGCUGUUGCUGGUCCCUGAGAUGGCCCACAGAGCUCCUUCCAGCCAGAGAGCACCAGCACCCAGGACACUGAAGGACCUCGCUGCUCCUGGAGAUGCUACAGUAAAAUGUCAAGCCCAUGUGUCUGCAUCUCUCAGAAGACUCCUUUUAAUCCUUAUGAAGAGGAGAAUGGCAUUCACUGAGACUUUGCCAGGUUUGUUUAUUGCUGUAUAUUUCCUGUCAAUAAUAGAGCUGGAAGAUGUAUACAAAUGGACACACUAUUGCAAAUGUAAGCUUCAUGUAAACAAGGAUUUUCCUUUUUUCUUUUUUUUUAAGGAUUUUAUUUAAUUGACAGCUAGAGACACCAUCAGAGAGGGAACACAAACAGGGG